GCCAAGUGGGUUUUACUCUUCACUGUUUCUCUCUGUUUUGUAAAGUUCAGAAUUUUCCAUUGUUCUUCCCAGUAAGAUUUUACAAACAAGUUGGUAUUCUAAAUUGCCUUUGACUACUAUAUCUCUCUGGUUGGCAAAUUGCUUCAGUAAUUCAGGAUUGAGUUCUUUCAGAUCCCAGGUUAAGAACCACUGAUCAAAGGGAUCUCUCUGCUCCGGAGCCAGGCAUGCUAUCCAGAGCACUCUCAGUCCUGGUGAAACCUGACCUUUAAUGAAAAGACAUUUAUUAAACCCCUACUAAAGACACCCACUAAAGUCUUCUUCUGAUGCCUCAUUGUGGUAUAAAAAUGAUGCUGGAUUUCUCGAAGUCAAUACCAGUGGAAUGGUAGCUCCGGCAAGCCAAAAAGAUAUUGAAUGAAU